GAUGAAGAACGGAGUAAAAUGCGAUACUUGGUGUGAAUUGCAGAAUCCCGUGAACCAUCGAGUUUUUGAACGCAAGUUGCGCCCGAAGCCUUUUGGCCGAGGGCACGUCUGCCUGGGCGUCACGCAUCGCGUCGCCCCCCACUAUUCUCCGUAAAGGGAACGUGUGUUUUGGGGGCGGAUAUUGGUCUCCCGUGCUCAUGGCGUGGUUGGCCGAAAUAGGAGUCCUUUCGAUGGACGCACGAACUAGUGGUGGUCGUAAAAACCCUCGUCUUUUGUUUCGAGCUGUUGCUCGCAAGGUAAACUCUUUAAAAACCCCAAUGUGUCGUCUCUUGACGACGCUUCGACCGCGACCCCAGGUCAGGCGGGACUACCCGCUGAGUUUAAGCAUAUCAAUAAGCGGAGGA
rnacentral:misc_RNA from 1 species